UCUCUCAAUCCACUCAGCUGUCAACAGUCAACACGCAUACGAGACCACCUGGAGGUGCGCUCGCCGCCGCCUCAAUUUCGGCUGUCGCCGGCCACAUCCGCUGCCGCUGCUUUCCGACGAGGCAACACCCAGGUCUCCUCCUCCGUUUCCCUGCACCGUGAAGCCUGCCCGCAUCCGCACACACAACUGCGCAAAACCCUAACCGUUUUUUCUGCCCCUCCCGUUCGAGAUCCCGACCGUCCUCUUCACUAUUGCCGGUGGCCAAGGUGGCCAGCGGUGAGGGGGAAAGAGGACCGGAGAUGUAGAAGUUGUUUCCGCUCAGUACAAGGUGGAGGCUGUGGGAGGAGUCAUGAUCGCCGGAAUUCGGUGUAGUUCACGGCCAUGUGCUCCUUCAUCUGGAGUUCUUUCCCUGUUCCAAAUGAUAUCAAUCCGACUCUUCAUCGGUACGUCUCGCUGCUAAGGCACAUGCCCGAUGCUGCCGCUAGCCAUCUAAAGGGGCAAUGGGGCCUAAUCAGAAUAUGGCCGCAACGCUAGCUGAUACAUCGCUCCUUCCUGCCAUAUGCCACGUCGUGCCAUCCUCGCAAAAAAAAAAAGUCAUGUUGUCUGUACCGUAAGUAUUUUUAUAAAUUGUCAAACCUGCACAAGUUCUUUUAGCUACUAGCUUCAAUUUUUUUAAUCUAUUGCCCAUUUACAGCUUGCCAGUAUUGGUUAAUUAUCACAUUUACAUAGUAUAAACCAAUAGCUAAAAAUAUUAAUUUGAUGUGUUUUUUCUUCAAAUUUUGCGGUGCCUCAAAUAUGAAGAGGAAAACAACAGCGAUAAACUCCUUUUACAAGCCAAUUAUCAACAAGUGUGUUAUAUAUGAUGAAAAUUUAGCUUUGUUUGUAUUGCCAAACAUACUUUGAUAUAUUGGGAUGUUCAUAUGUAUUGCGAUCUUUUUUGUGUCAGUACUGUAGAGUAAAGCAUCAUCAGCAAUUUGCUUGCCGAGCAAUAUGUUGCUAUAGUCAUGUAUUGAUGUUACCAUUUAAAACUAUUUCAAGGCCAUGUCUGUCAUGUUGGUGGAGCUCGGUGCUUGGACUUGGCCUAAGGCGAGCGCUAUCCUGGGAGGUAUCCGCUCCGCUGGUCGACGCUGUGGUGUUUCCGUUCCCAUUGGCCACAACAUAGAUGCAUGUGGUUGAGUGCCUGGUUCUGAACUUCAGGAAGUUGUGCUCCCUGUUUCCCCUUCUUUCGGCUAUUGUCGUGGUGUUGGAGAUGGAGCGGUGGAAAGGAAGAUAUCGGCGAUUAGGUGGAGCUACCGCACAGGCUGUUGAUUUAAUCUCAUGGUCGAGUGGUAGUGACCGCAUGCCGAACUUCGGCAUGGUGAAUCUUCUGGUCAAGUGGUGACCGUACAAGAAUUUUCUCCCAGCUUGGCGUAGGCAAGAAGGGAGGCAAAUCCACUACAUCUCGGUUUUUUGCCGCUUUUUGUCAACAACGAGUUGUCCGCGUCGCUUAGCCUCACCGAAAAGACUGUCCAGCAGGAAAACAUUUAUGCCAAAUAUCAGGCAGGAUGGACAUCCUCCAUUCAGCUCUCAUCUGCAUUGAUGCACACACAUGUUCAUUAACAUGAGAACUGUUGGGUGUUACAAGCUGGGCUAUUAAGUUGUUGCCUCAUGUUACUAAUGCCUUUAAUAUGUUGUUUCAAAUAGCCUUACUGAAUAAGUUGACUCAUGUUGUGUAGCUGACCGCGGAACAACUAUUUACCUAGAGAAGUCUGAAGGUAUUCCUCUUCUUUUUUUCUUUCAGAUCAAAUAGAAAACAUCAAUAUAGAUGAUAUUUGGCCUGUUCAAUUUUCUCCAUGGCUUAUUCACGAAUCUAUCUCACCGGAACAGCUACUUACCUGAGAGCAUAUGAUCAAAUUCUAUACCCUAUAGUAGGAGAACAUUGAUGGACAUGAAACUAGCUACUUACCUAAGAGCGUAUGAUCAAAUUCUAUACCCUAUGGUAGGAGAACAUUUAUGGACAUGAACCUGCUAAGAUCAUACCAGAAUUAUAAAAAGAAAACAAGCUGGAAGUCCAAGGACAAAGAAUAGGAGGACUAACCUAAGUAUCUUAGACUGCCAGAUUUCUAUUAUUUAAAAAUUGUCACCUUGCCUGCUUAUGAUCUUACCAUUUCAUUUUUUGUUUCCUAUUUUCAUCUUUACAGUGAAUAUAGAAAAAUACACGAGAAACUGAAGAUUCUUAGCAUCUUAAUGUUCUAUCCCUUUCAGUAUGCGACGCCAUAUGUUCCUUGCCGAGACCACAAAAGUUCCUAUUUUAGUAGAUUUGAGUUGACGUUUCUUCUUCUUUUACAAAAUAUACUUGCCACCAUCUCAGUUAGCAUAUCAAACAGAAUGCCCCAAGACAGUAAGCCUGACGAGAAAACAUAGGGACGUCAAGAAUAUAUUUGAUUUCCAUUGAGAAAAAAAGACAUAGGUGUUUCUACUUCUAACUUCCAUCUUGAACCAUGACACUGCACUAUAGACUCUAUCUUCAUGUAAUUUGUAAUCGCACGCCACAUGAUUUAUGUUAAUCCAUGUUCUAUAUUACCACUCAUGUCUAGGGUUUAUUCCAUAUAGAUACAUCUUGAACUGCAUCUUAUUAGGAUUGGAUUUGUAUAGCAUGGACACCUGAGCUGUUGACUUUUUCUACGGCCAAGAUUUCUGACCAAAUAUUUUAACAAUUAAUUACUUUAUUGGUUAUUUUCUGUAUUAAUUUAUACUUCAACCUUUACACCUUAUGACAUUCUUUUGUUUGCGGGGGUACAUGCAAUUGUUAUAUAUAUUUAGAAAUAGUACAUGUGAAGAAAAAUGAAAAUUUUCAGGUUUUUUAGAGGCGGAUAUUUUAUUGGCCUUACAGGUGAUUGAAAUCUGUAUGUCCUAAUUUAGCCUUUAUUUCAGUUCUUUAAUCAGGCAUUAUUUUUUAUCAUCUUACCAGGCUCCGAGUUGUGUUCUUUUCUUUGCAGACAAGAAGUGCUUAUGGUGUUGAGCUACCUUCUGGUAAAUUCAUAAACAUAUGUCUACUGUCAUUUUGGAGGUAGUAUAAUUAAUUUCAAAAGCCAGCCUCCAAAAGUUAUAUCUCACACCACUGUUAUAUAUGCAGUUUGUUGCGCAACACAUGAGUGAUCUGUUUUCUUACAGAUAGUGACAAAUAUAUUAAUAGAAGGCAUGUCAUGGCGUUUCUGGAGAGACUUACUUAAUUUCUUUUUUUGUUCAUGUUUUUCAAGAUAUGUUUUAAUUCCACUUUACACUCCUUUAUGUGGCAUUGUUCGUAAUUUAUGCUUGCUCCUCUCUUAUUUAUUUGGUUUGAGGGAACAUAACGAUUGGCAAUAUGCAUUGCAGGUUCAGUCCUGAACAUUGUGGACUGGAUGUACGUAUGAUGUUGUGAAGCUUUUUCUCCGUGUUUUGUUUUUGCCCACUGCAUUUAGUUGAUUUGAAAAAAAUGUUUGGAAUAUGUACAUAGGAUUUAGCCAUGUGGAUCUGUUCGUUACUCUUUCAUGUGCAGUUAAUUUAUAUGUAUACCAUUGAAAUUUUGAUUCAAUUUUUUUUUCAUGACGAGGUCUUUAAUUCAUUUGUGUUUAUCUC